rnacentral:rRNA from 1 species
GACGAACGCUGGCGGCGUGCUUAACACAUGCAAGUCGAACGGAAAGGCCCUGCUUUUGUGGGGUGCUCGAGUGGCGAACGGGUGAGUAACACGUGAGUAACCUGCCCUUGACUUUGGGAUAACUUCAGGAAACUGGGGCUAAUACCGGAUAGCAUCUCCUGCUGCAUGGUGGGGGUGGGAAAGUUGCGGCGGUCGGGGAUGGACGCGCGGCUUAUCAGCUUGUUGGUGGGGGAGUGGCUUACCAAGGCUUUGACGGGUAGCCGGCCUGAGAGGGUGACCGGCCACCAUGGGCCUAAGGGAGGGAGCAGAGGCGUAUGGGAGGCAGCAGGGGGGAGUCUUGCACAAUGGGACCGAGUCGGAGGAAGAAACGUCCGGUUCGUGAAGACGGCCUGCGGGUUGUAAACAGCUUUCGCCUAAGACGAAGCGUUAGUGACGGUACUGAGUAAAGAAGCACCGGCUAACUACGUG